UUUGAUCUUCCACUCCACUGACCAAAACUCUUUUUCUCAGGUCUACCCCUGGCCACAACCAAACCUUCUGCGCUAGACUUAUCUUUACCAAUGAGCCUAUUUUUCUUUAGCUUGACUUCCUUGGCAUAUGCAAAACUGGUUUCUUCAUUCAGAAUCAGUGUUUCCUUCCCACUACCAUAUUUAAGUGUGUGAACCAGUGAGUCAAACUAACUUAGGACACUAGAGAGGACCUGAAUGGCUUGGUCUUCAUCACUCACAUAAAUGUUCAAACUUACCAAA
rnacentral:lncRNA from 1 species